CAAAGCUGAUAUUAUUAGAUACUAUGCGAAGGUAAUACAUCAAGAGCAUCAGUACAUAGAAGAUCCAAAAGAGCAGAGGAGGGACUAGACACCCAGUUGAUAGGAAGGAAAUCAAAACGAUGAGCUUUUGCUACCCAGUUAGCAACCCGAUUAGAAUUCCUAUUACAGUGAGCUAAAGAGAGACCCGAAAUAGUCUUCAAUUUGUGCUUGGCCCAGUCCACAAGGGGAUCCACUAACCAAUUUAAAAUAGAGGACGACAGUACACUGUCCACUAGCAACCGACAGUCAGAUAAAAAAAUCAAUUCUUUUUCUGGGGACUUUGGGAUUAGGGUUGAAGAGAUAAAAUCUAGGGUUUCAACCAAAGCGACGGCCUCGGCUUGCUCAGCCGAGCUUACCUCAAUAUGUUUUGCAAAGCCAUCUCGAAUCAUCCCAAAAGAAUCUCUGCAGACACAAGCAAUAGCAGCCCGAGGUCUUGAUCUUGGAUGCUGAAGACCAAAAGGAGCAGAUCUGGUCUGCGAGGAGUUGAAGCCUACUGUCGUUCUCUCUCCACAUGGGGUGUGGCCCAUUGCCGAGGGUAAAGGUCUGCUUGAGGCUCGAUGCGAGGGACGAGGUCUGGGAUGCGGGGAUUCGCCUGCUUCACCAACCCAGACGCGUGGAUCCAUCCUGCCUUCUUCCCUCUCUUCCAAUUCAUAAUGCCUUCCAUGAGGCAGCAGACGUGCCGAGAGUCAGAGGAAAGUCCUCUGAUUCUUCUGAAUCGCAAGGCUUGCCAUGGUGAGCGUCUUUCUUGGGUCUUCCGAGCUGCAGAGUCAAACGCAAAGCGAACUAGUCACGGGCUGGAUCCAUAUGACACGGCCCAACAGAUGGACGCAUUUUAGAAGUUUCUCAAGCACUGGGCGUGACGAGCAAAUGACCCUUGAGCUUCCCAAAACCCUAGGCCCUCUUGAGUGAUAUUGUACAACUAUGUAAUGAUUAGGGAAUAUUUAAACCCCACCGUUAGAUCUAAGAAGAGAUCUAUGGCUGAGAUUGGCCCCGUACUUGUAUAUAUAGGGUCUCUUCCCCUAAGUUUUAUGAUCCCAUUCACAAGUGAACAAACAUUAUUGAGCUUUUCUUUCCAAAAAUACUCUCUAA